rnacentral:rRNA from 1 species
CGGGGGGUGCGAGCGUUGUCCGGAAUCACUGGGCGUAAAGGGCGCGUAGGUGGUUUGAUAAGGGUGUGGUGAAAGCCCGGGGCUCAACCCCGGGUCGGCCGUGCGGACUGGCGUGCUCGAGCACUGUAGGGGCGGGUGGAAUUCCCGGUGUAGCGGUGGAAUGCGUAGAGAUCGGGAAGAAUACCAGUGGCGAAGGCGUUCUGCUGGGCCGUUGCUGACACUGAGGCGCGACAGCGUGGGGAGCAAACAGGA